CAGAUACUUCCUCCAUUUCAAAAUUCUUAUCUUAAAUUUGUUUAGAUAUGGAUAUAUCUAGUCACAUUUUAGUAUUUUGAUACAUUCAUUUCUAUAUAAACCUAAGACUAAAUUUUUGGGACGAAGGGAGUAGAUC
rfam:Hordeum vulgare subsp. vulgare, WGS project CAJW01000000 data, contig: morex_contig_276059